CAUGCAGUGACGUGGAUGGACUGUGAACUUUAUAACACACAGUUUGCUCCACAUUUCAGUGGCAGCUCUGAUGCAAUGCAAAGGUCAGAGGGCAAGACACACAUUGUAUGCAAACAGGAAAAUAAUUUCUUCUGGGAUCUGCUAAUAUACGGACAAAGGAGAGAAGCAUGUCAUCUGCUGUACAAGCCAAGGCAAACCCAGCUUCGUUCCAUGCAUCAGAGGGUUGAAUCAGAAAGAAAAGGAUUAAAGUUGCUCAAGGAGAGAGAAAAAGAAAGAACAAACUGCCUGAAAUCCAGCACUAUUCAUGUAUGCAGCAUGGAUUGUUUUAAAAUGCUGUUUUUCUUCAAACAUCACUUUCAUAAGGCCAAUUCUAAAUGGAUUGAGAUGACACUAAGAGGUUUGGCAUCAGAGCAUAAAACUGGAAGAGAUUUCCUGGGCUGUUGUGUUCCAUGUCCUAGUCAGUUAUAUCAAAGAGUAACCCUUUCACAUCCAUCUUGAAACCAGUGCAACAGGAGAUGCCUAUGAGAGAACGCUCAAGUCACUGGAAUGGACAGCAGUCACCAUUUUCUUGGUUAGGAAAGGGAAGCUUUAAGGAAGUUUGGGAAAAGCAGAAGGAAAAAAAAAAAACAACAAAACAUGUAUACAAUACAGUAAUUUGCAAUGGAACAAAAA